CCUACGGGUGGCUGCAGUGGGGAAUCUUGCGCAAUGGGCGAAAGCCUGACGCAGCGACGCCGCGUGCGGGAAGAAGGCCUUAGGGUUGUAAACCGCUUUCAGGAGGGACGAAGCCACUCGGGUGAAUAGCCCAGAGGGUGACGGUACCUCCAGAAGAAGCCCCGGCUAACUACGUGCCAGCAGCCGCGGUAAUACGUAGGGGGCAAGCGUUGUCCGGAUUAGUUGGGCGUAGAGAGCGUAUAGGCGGCGAGAAAACUGGAGGCUCAACCUUCAGACGUCGACCGAAACCCCCUGGCUAGAGUCCGGGAGAGGAGAGUGGAAUUCCUGGUGUAGCGGUGGAAUGCGCAGAUAUCAGGAAGAACACCCGUGGCGAAAGCGGCUCUCUGGAACGGUACUGACGCUGAGACGCGAAAGCGUGGGGAGCGAACAGGAUUAGAUACCCCAGUAGUC
rnacentral:rRNA from 1 species